GUUUUAAUAGUAAAUAAUAAUACAUUACUUUUUCAAAGUAAAAUUGGCUUUGCCUUAAAAUA
rnacentral:tRNA from 1 species